rnacentral:rRNA from 1 species
GAUGAACGCUGGCGGCACGCUUAACACAUGCAAGUCGAACGAUUAAAGCACCUUCGGGUGUGUAUAGAGUGGCGAACGGCUGAGUAACACGUGGGCAACCUGCCCUUCAGUUCGGAAUAGCUACGGGAAACCGUGGGUAAUACCGGAUGAUCCACCUCCCUCGCAUGAAGGAGGUGGCAAAGAUUUAUCGCUGAAGGAUGGGCCCGCGGCCUGUUAGCUUGUUGGUGAGGUAACGGCUCACCAAGGCAGUAAUGGGUAGCCGGGUUGAGAGACCGACCGGCCAGAUUGGGACUGAGACACGGCCCAGACUCCUACGGGAGGCAGCAGUGGGGAAUCUUGCGCAAUGGGCGAAAGCCUGACGCAGCGAUGCCGCGUGCGGGAUGAAGGCCUUCGGGUCGUAAACCGCUUUCAGCAGGGACGAGGCCGCAAGGUGACGGUACCUGCAGAAGAAGCCCCGGCUAACUACGUGCCAGCAGCCGCGGUAAUACGUAGGGGGCGAGCGUUAUCCGGAUUCAUUGGGCGUAAAGCGCGCGUAGGCGGCCUGUUAGGUCAAGAGUUAAAUCCGGGGGCUCAACCCCCGUCCGCUCCUGAUACCGGCAGGCUUGAGUCUGGUAGGGGAAGGCGGAAUUCCAAGUGUAGCGGUGGAAUGCGCAGAUAUUUGGAAGAACACCGGUGGCGAAGGCGGCCUUCUGGGCCACGACUGACGCUGAGGCGCGAAAGCUAGGGGAGCAAACAGG